AAGCAUGUAGACAGGCAGCAACAGCACGAGGGGGAGAGACAGAGAGAAACAGGGAGAGAGAAAUGGGGCGAGCCCUUGUUGCAGCCGUUACUGGUGAAACCAGUGACUCAUCCCAGUUUGUAAUCCGCCCCUCUUGUUUCCUUUGGUGGAGCGAAAGAUGCCUUUUGGUUUGCAGACGAGCUCACUGACACAGAAUAAGGAGCUUUUGUCGUCUCGAGGUCUUGACGUCUCGUCGUGUUUUUCAGUGUAGCUGGAGCUCAGCGUGUAACGCUGGGGUUUGAAUGGAAUUUGUGUGUGUGUGUGUGUGUGUGUGUGUGUGUGUCUGUGUGUGUUGGAGGUAGAGGCUGAUAUCUGUGUGGGGCGUGACCGGCAUGGCGAG
ensembl:lncRNA